rnacentral:rRNA from 1 species
AUUGAACGCUGGCGGCAUGCCUUACACAUGCAAGUCGAACGGUAACAGGUUAAGCUGACGAGUGGCGAACGGGUGAGUAAUAUAUCGGAACGUGCCCAGUAGUGGGGGAUAGCCCGGCGAAAGCCGGAUUAAUACCGCAUACGACCUACGGGUGAAAGGGGGGGAUCGCAAGACCUCUCGCUAUUGGAGCGGCCGAUAUCAGAUUAGCUAGUUGGUGGGGUAAAAGCUCACCAAGGCGACGAUCUGUAGCUGGUCUGAGAGGACGACCAGCCACACUGGGACUGAGACACGGCCCAGACUCCUACGGGAGGCAGCAGUGGGGAAUUUUGGACAAUGGACGCAAGUCUGAUCCAGCCAUGCCGCGUGCGGGAAGAAGGCC